UUAAAAAAGUAAGGGUUUGUACCUUUUGUAUCAGGGUAUCUUCAAUUAUUUAAUUAGAGAGGUUUCUCGAAGCAAGUAUGAGCUAUUUAUAAUCUUGUUGAAUAAAUUAGUUAAUUAUUUAGUUAUGAAAUGUAUUCGAAUUUUGUGUUAACUAGUUAUUUAAAUAAAUUGCUUUAAAAAUUACUGGGGGUAAAGCCAAUAAAGAGGUUAACCUUUUUAUUAAUAUAGAUAUGUGUUACAAGGUUUUUAUAAUUAGUUGGGCUUAAUAUUAGCUAUAUUUAUAGUUUGUUAUAAAUAGUUAUUUGGUUUAGGAGGUAAUUAUGUGUGUUUAAGUUAUAUAGAGUAGUUUAAAUUUAAUAAAAAAAAUGAGGUUAUUAGUAAUAAAUUAUGGUUACUUAUUUAACUCGAAAAUUAUUUGAUUGUUUAUCAAAAACAUUUUUUUUAGUGGUUUAAAAGUAUGGCCUGCCCAGUGAUUUUAAACGGCUGCGGUAUUUUAACUGUACUAAGGUAGCAUAAUCAUUUGUUUUUUAAUUGAAAACUGGGAUGAACGGUCUUACAAAUAGUUAUUAAUAAUAAGUUAAUUUUAUUAACUUAUAUUUUGAGUAAAAAUACUCAGAUAAGGUAAAGGGACGAUAAGACCCUAAAAGCUUUAUACAUGUAUAAUUUAAGCUGGGUUUUAAUGUAUUUAGUUGGGGUAACGUAUUUAUAUUAAUUAUUAUAUAUAUUUACAAUUAAUUACUGGUAAAUUGAUCUUUUAUAUAAAGAAAAAUAGUACUAGUUACUUUAGGGAUAACAGCGCAAUAGUUAUAGAAAGGCCUUAUUAAUAUAAUUGAUUACGACCUCGAUGUUGAAUUAAAUAAUCUGUUUAUUGCAGCAGAUAAGCAAGAAGGUUGUUCAAAC
rnacentral:rRNA from 1 species